UCCGUAUGGCUGCCCGCACUCGAUGACAGGAGAACGUCGUAAAUUCCUUCCAAUUUGCCGAAAUCGUAGUCUCCUCUACUAGAAGGAAGUAAUAGGUGUGCAACAAGAUCAGCUUGAGUGAGAAGAGGUGGACAAGACGUGAAAGAAAGACGGGAACGGUGGUACGCAGAGGAAGAAGGGAAGAAAGAAAAGUGGGCGCUUUUAUAGAGACACUUCGCACGUCACAUUAACGACGAAAUGGAUCACGUCCUUCCGAGCUCGUAAAGUAAUGCCCCUGGACUUUGUUUACUUCCAAUGAAAGUACACAUCCUCUUCAUUGGUUCAUAGUCCAUCUCCUCUUUUAUACAUCUGCUUUGCGUUUACGGUGGAAUAGAGACUGCACACGUCAGAAACGAGAAGAAAAAUCCUGUCAGAUUAAAAACUGUCUAAGGAAGAUAACUGGGUACAUAUACACGUCUACGCGAGCUCGUUCGGGACUCAAUGAUUUCGCUGAAGGAAACGGCGGGACGUGCUUCAGAUUUUGCAAAUGGAAAGCGAUUUUCUGGUGCAGAGUGCGGAGACGGAAACCCAUCAAAUCGAGCGAGACGUUAAACCGGAAUUCGCUAACCCAGUUCCGGGAUCGUUUUGCUGCUCUUGAAUAGUUACUCGAUACACAACCACACCUGACCAGGUUCGAUUAUAAAGUUUUCACGAGUCUUUCAAACUACGGCAUCGGGCUUUUCCUUCAUGGAUAAUUAUUUAUGAUGCUUCUACCUUCCCAGUCCUUAAGUUCUUGUUCUCGUUUGCGGCCAGACGCGUCCCGAUGAACGAUAUACGUACCUAUGAAUCCGAUACAACUCAAUAGUCUCAAUUCGUCAAUACAUUCUAGUGCAUCUCAACUAUUCCUCACUGCAAUUUACCAAUACCGAUAUCGUGUGCCCGUGAUGUCACGAUUAAUGUCGUUAAACUGCUGUCCUCGGCACGCCCAUGAAAUGGAAUUGUUUUUUAAACGACAGUAAUUUUGUUUUUGAUUCAAACUCCGAAAUUUGUUAUUUAACACGGCGGUGUCUUAUCCCGAUAUUUUAUUCAUAUAUUCGAGUAAAUUUUUCUACCUGCUUUCAUUUAUGCUGUGGACCUCUUCAAAAAGUAAGAUAAUCUCGAAUUGGCCGCAAGUUGCUAUGGAGGCGCAACAAGUGGGACACAGCUACACGGUCACUAUUAUUUUCAGUAUCCAUCUAUAGAGAUAACUGAAUCGAUAAAAAUUGCAUUUCCGACAACAAUUUACGUCAAAUAUCAAAUCUAUUUUCCUCGUUUCAUGAUCUCGGCUGUUCGCAAUAUUCGAUUUAACUACCCAGUCCGAUCGGUAGUUAUACAAGUAAAAGGAAUAAUAAAUAAAAUAAUAGUCCUGCACAACGACCUGGAUUUAUUAGGAAAAUUUGAAUGAUCCCGAUCCACGUAUAAUCCACGCUAUCUCGUGUCCUAUGAAUAAUCGAGUGACAGGUGGAGACGAGUAGGUGACAUUUGAGUGACGUUGGAAUCUGACCGCAAUGUAUUGUGCAUUAUUGAUGCUGCGCAUGCAUCUACAUAUAGUUAAAUAUAUAGGAGAGAAAAAGUCGAGGAUUAAAGCCCAGAAUUUACGUGCACGCAGCAUCCGAUAUACAUAUGUGAAUACAUGCGUCGACUUUACAUGAAAACCAUCCGAUUAUUCAUUGACUCACGAAUUAUACCUAAGUGUCUCCCCCUUGUCAAACGACAGCUCGUGCUUGGCAUUUCAAAUAUUGAUUUAAGUGGGAACAGAACCAAUCUGGAAAAAAAAAAUUACCAGCAUCCCUCCAGAUGCAGAUAGUAUUUGCAAAUAUUUCUUUCACA